UGCCCAGUGCCCGGGCACAGCCGGCGGCGGACGCGGCACAGACUCUGCAGAGCUGCCCCCUGUGCCAGGCCGACUUCGUCCCCGGGCUGGCCCAGCUGGACAUCGACAGCCACCUUGCCCAGUGCUUGGCGGACAGCACAGAAGACGUGGUGUGGUGAGCCGGCUGCAGGUCUGCGCCAGGAUCACCGCCCUGCCCGUGACCCGCAAGAAAGCUGAGGGUGCGCAUUAAAACGUGUCACUGGGACCUGC